GACGAACGCUGGCGGCGUGCUUAACACAUGCAAGUCGAACGGUAAGGCCCUUCGGGGUACACGAGUGGCGAACGGGUGAGUAACACGUGGGUGAUCUGCCCUGCACUUCGGGAUAAGCCUGGGAAACUGGGUCUAAUACCGGAUAGGACCACUGCCUGCAUGGGUGGUGGUGGAAAGCUUUUGCGGUGUGGGAUGGGCCCGCGGCCUAUCAGCUUGUUGGUGGGGUGAUGGCCUACCAAGGCGACGACGGGUAGCCGGCCUGAGAGGGUGACCGGCCACACUGGGACUGAGAUACGGCCCAGACUCCUACGGGAGGCAGCAGUGGGGAAUAUUGCACAAUGGGCGCAAGCCUGAUGCAGCGACGCCGCGUGAGGGAUGACGGCCUUCGGGUUGUAAACCUCUUUCAGCAGCGACGAAGCGCAAGUGACGGUGGGUGCAGAAGAAGGACCGGCCAACUACGUGCCAGCCGCCGCAGUAACAC
rnacentral:rRNA from 1 species